UCCUUAUGCAAAUCCAUAUACAUCAAUAUGAACAGUUGGGAGUUUUUCUAUAGUUAAUUGUAUUUUCUGUGUGUUGAUACUUUUUGAUCUUAUCACAGUUAAAACUUCUAUGGGUAACUGUUCUUCCUUGUGUACAACACAUACUUUGUGAGAUAAAAGAAAUUCUUUUUUCCGGCUUUUCUUUUAGUUUUAUUGAGACAUAAUUGGCAAAUAGCACUUAUAAGUUUAAGGUGUAGAGCAUCGUGAUUUGUCUUAUAUAUAUUUGUGAAGCAGUUACCACAGUAAGUUUAGUUAAUAUCCAUCAUCUUGUAUAGGUACCAAAUAAAGAGAAAGAAAAAGAACUUUCUUUUCCUUAUGAUGAGAAUUCUUAGCAUCUACUCCAUUAAAAACUUUCUUGUAUACCAGACAGCAGUGUUAACUAUAGUCAUCAUAUUGUACAUUACAUCCCAAGUACUGAUUUAUCUUAGAAUUUAAAAAAAUUAUGGAAAGAGUUGGAGUACUACACAAAAUAUCACAGGGGUUUGAUACCUAUUCAUUAUUUGAUUCAUUUAUUUUGAAAAGGCUAAGUAAAGUCAGAAGGAUGAAAAGAACACCUGGAGGCAUAAUUUCUGAUAGCAGAUCCUCAGAUUGUGUGUGUACAUAAUUCUGAAGCAGUAUUUCUCACAUAUUGACCCGUAUUUUGCUUGAAUUAGUAUCACCUGAGGUGCUUGUUGAACUUGAAGAUCUUUGAGUGCUACCCAAGAAUUUUUUUUAUGUUUAUUUAUUUUUGAGACAGAGAGAAAGAGAGCAUGAGUGGGGGAGGGGCAGAGAGCGAGGGAGACACAGAAUCCGAAGCAGGCUCCAGGCUCUGAGCUGUCAGCACCGAGCCUGACGCGGGGCUCAAACCCACCAACCAUGAGAUCAUGACCUGAGCCGAAGUUGGAUGCUUAACUGACUGAGCCACCCAGGCGCCCCAAGUGCUACCCAAGAAUUUAGAUUCCGUAAAUCUGAAGUGAAGUCCACAAAUAUCAGUCUUCACCUGUUCUCCAGGGGAUUCUCUUAAAAAUAUUAGCUUUAUUGAAGUUUCAUUAACUUAUAAAAUUGUAAGAUGAUUGAAAGUGUGUGUACAUCAUGGUGGUUUGAUAUAUGUAUACGUUGUGAAAGGAUUCCCCCCAUCUAGCUUAUUAUCACAUCCAUCACCUCAUAUGAUUAUCUUUUUUAUUUACGUUUUUGUUUUUGUUUUUGUUUUUGUUUUUUUGGUGAGAAUGUUUAAGCGCUCUUAGCAAAUUUCAGUUCUACAAUAGUGUUAUCAUUUAGAGUCACCGUGUUUUACAUUCGAUCCUUAGAUCUUACUCAUCUUAUAACUGAUCCAGCAGAUUCUUUUAUAAGUGAUCCACAUUCCACAUUCUCCAUAUUACUCGUUUGCAUGUUGAAUUUUGACAGUCAUGCCUAGUAGGAUUUGUUGAAAUACUGCUCCUACAGCCCAGCGCAGCUUUAAUGGCUGUAAAAUUUCUACUCCUUUUAAAGGUACAUAUUAUUAUAACAGUUCUUUGAGUUUUUCUUUAAUUUCAAGACUAAAUCUAUGUUUUACAUAUUGCAUACUUAGGAUUAAAAGUUUGAGGGUGUUAUGAAUCUGGUUAAAACUCCCUUUAUUUCUCAAGUCCUUCUCUCAAUAACUAGUUUUGGUCGCUCCUUUACGGAGUAACUUAAAAACAGUUACGUACCCAAUUUGCAGGGUAUUAAUUAAUGUGUUUCCUCUUUGUUUUUAAGUAUUUUUGUUUUGUUUUCAGAUGACUGUUAGGCCUUAACCAUAAAGUUCACCUAUUUAAAAUGUACAGUUCAAGGGGCACCUGGGUGGCUCAGUCGGUUAAGUAUCUGACUCUUGGUUUUGGCUCAGGUCACUAUCUCAUGAUUCGUGAGAUUGAGCCUCAUGUCGGAAUCUGUCUCUGCCUUCUCCUGCAUGCUCUUUCUCUCUCUCUCAAUAUAAAUAAAUAUUUAAAAAUAAAUAAAUGUACAACUCAGUAUUUUUUUUAUUAUUGAGUUGUAAGAGUUCUUUACAUAAUUCUGGUUACAAGUUUCCAGAUGAAAGUUAGUAUAUGUAUGAUUUGCAGAUAUAUUCCCUAUUCUUUGGAUCAUUUUUUCACUUUCUUGAAAGCGUCAUUUCCAAUACAAAAGUUUAAAUUUUGAAGUAGUCUAAUUUAUUUUUCUUUUGUUUCUUAUGUCAUGACAUGUUAAUAUUAGAUAAAUACUAUCUGCCUGUCCUGAAGCAAAUCAUUCCUAUAUUGCUUGCCUUUUUAAUAUAGUUUAACUCAACUGAUGUUUUCUGAAUUCCUAUUUAGUGCUUAUUUCUGAGAAAUAAUCAGGAAACUCUACUCAGUGUUAAACUAUUCAAGAUUGGUGGGAGAAUAGAUAAAUGAUAAGUUGCUGACAGAAUGAAAUAAACUGUUUUGUUCUCAGAAAUAUCCACUAGGAUAUGGAUCUCUGAUUAGUGUAAUAAAAUAUAUAUUCCCUCCCAGACUUAAAAAAAACGCAUGUAAGGUGCAUCUCUUUGUCUGUACCCGUGUGUUAGAUGUGUCCCUGUCUGUGAGCACAUGCCUCUGGGUGUGUGUGUGCACCUGUACGUGUGUGUGCAGCUCUUUGUGCGUGUGUGUGUUAGAUGCUGUUUUGUAUGCCAACUCCUAAUUGGACAUGAUGGCUUAGGUGUUAGAGUGUAGAAAGUGAGGGAAAUGCAUAAGAUUUUUGUAUUUUCAUUCUUUAUCUGCUCUUUAAAAUCUAAGUUUCUAAAGGGUGGGAAGAAAAGAACUCGAGAAUGCUAAGAGUUGAAAGGAGACUGCUGAGUUUGUAAAUAUCAGGCCAGGAUCAAGGCCACUUACAUAGCAACUUGAGCUACUCAGCUCAUCUCACUGGACUCCCUUUCCUAAAAAACUAAGUGAAUAAUAAAGUUUCUAAUCCUACUCCAACUAUAAUAAUAAGAUGCAGAUUUUAUUUCAUAGUACAAAAAAUAGUAUCGUUUCUAAGCCAAGGCUCAAUUUCAGAGCCUUUAGGAACCUCAAGUUUAGAAUUCUCUAAAAACUCAAUAUAAGAAAAGCAUGGGGAAAAAUGUUUUUAUGCUUCAAGAGUUAAUAGCUUUAAGUCUCUUGAAAAAAAUUUAAUGUUUCUAACAAAUCUAGCUAGUUCUGAUAGUAUGACGCUGAAGUGGAUUCAUCAUGUUCAGGAAUCACACAUUCCUAUGCUAUUCCCUCCCACAGGAUGUAUGCCGGGUCCUUUAUGCCAGGCAUCAAAGUAGAAAGCCUUGUUGUAUGUGUUAUUUUAAACUCCUCUUUUUAUAUCCAAAUACGUUUUCAAAAGCCUUUUUAAAAAGUAGUCAUUGAUGGCUGUGUAUUUUGCAUUUUUGUGAAAUGUUUAUGUAAAUCGCAUUCCAAAUUUAGUAAGUCUCCUGGUAACUAAUGUUUUUGACUGAAGUAGAUAAAGUGAGAAUCAUUUUGUAUUCUGAUUCUAUUUUUAAAUCUUUUCAGUGUUUAUUCUGUACUUCCUGAGGCUCUCCUCUAUGCUAUCCAGACUUUUAUUAAAUUUUAUAUAUUUGCUUAUUAUAUAUAAUUAAUUGUUAUGAAAAGAAAUGGAGUGUGACUUUUUUUUUUAAUGUUUAUUUAUUUUUGAGAGAGACAGAGACAGAAUGUGAGUGGGUUAGGAGCAGAGAGAGAGGGACAAACAGAAUCCGAAGCAGGCUCCAGACUCUGAGCUGUCAGCACAGAGCCUGACAUGGGGCUCCAACUCACAAGCUGUGAGAGCAUGACCCCAGCUGAAGGCGGACACUCAACUGACUGAGCCACCCAGGCGCCCUCAGAGUGUGGCUUUUAAAAUCUGAAAAAAGAGUAGAAUUUAAUGGGCAGAGUGGGGAGUGAUGGAUUGUGUGGAGACUCGUGGAAAAGGCCUUGUAGCAGAAGGGAGCAUAGGAAGAGUAAAGAGAAUCAGUAUGGCUAGAACCCAAAGAGUUAUUAGCAGGAGGUGAAGCAGGGGCUAGACCAGAACCUAGGACCUUAGAGCUAUGUUGACAAGGUUAAUAACACUCGGAAAAUAUGCAAGAGGAUUAAGCAAGGGUGGAAUGAUUAAAUUUGUGUUUUUAAAAGAUCCCGAUGACUCCAGUGUAGAAAACAAAUCAGACAGUGGAAAGAGUAAAUGAAAAUGCUGGUCGCCCAGAGAGUAAGGCUAUUACAGUAUUUCCUCCAGGCGGUGCUGUUCGUAAUGAGUUGGUAAUGAGAAAAAUGGGCAACUAAGAGAAAUAUUUAGAAGGUAAAUCAGGGGAAUGUGGUGAUGAAUGGAAUAAUGGGGAUUGAAGGAGAAUGUGGCACCAAGGAUGCCUACUGGUGCUGUUUACUUAGGUAGGAAACGCUGUAAGAGGAUCUUUUAGGGGCAUUAGCAGGACUCAGGAGUUUGGUUUGACACAUCGUUUAAGCAGCUUUGGGGACAUUGAAAUUAAAUGUGUAGAUUGACUUGUAUUUGGAAGAUACGGAUAUGGAGUUUAGAGGUCAGUGCUGCGGACACAUAUCAGAGUCAUUUGGAUACAGAGAAUCUAGAGAGAAAGAGAGUAUAAAUAAGAGAAGAGGGCCCAUAAUAAAGUCUUGAGGAACUUUAACAUUUAGUCACCAGGCAAAGGGGAAUGAACCUGUGAAGAAGAUUGAGGAGUAUCCCACGAGACAGUAAUAAAAUCAGGAAAACUAAGGGGAGAGAGUUUAAGGAGAGGUGCUGCUCCUUAACAGUGCGGUAGGAUGCUACUGAAAAAUAACAAAUAAGACGAAUGUGGGAAUUUGAUUUUAGCAACUUGGAAGUUUUUCUUGAUUUUAGCAAAAGCAUAUUCUGUGAAAUGAUGGAUCAGAAGUUAGACUGGAGUGAAUUGAAGAGUAAGUGGAAAUGGCUGUAUAAACUCUAAAAAACAGCCCAGAUAGGCCGUAGCUGGAGGGACAUGUGGGAUAAAGAGAUUUUACGUUUAAGGUGGGGCCAACAUUGGUAUUUUGUGGAUCGAAGAGGAUCAAGAGGGUAAAACAUCCCAGAGGGUGGAUGUAUAGAGAGGAAGAGAGAGGCUCCAGGUAAAUACAAAUCAAAGAAGGGGCUUUACAUCAUUUAUUGUAGCAGGUGCGAAGGAGGAGGGAAUGAGUGCACAUGUUUGUAGGUUUGCUAGCCGGAUAUUGAGGGGGCUCUGCUUAAAGAAGCUUUUUUACCUCUAGGAGAGAGGUGAAGUCGCUUGAUGAAAGUAAGGAGGAAUUCAGCUGAGGGUUCAGGCAGAAGAAAGGUAGGCGGUUUGGGGAAAUUUCAGAGGGUGGACGUAGCUGUAGAACUUCGGAGAAUGUGUUGAACCAGAGAAGUGUUGUAAAACUGAUGGUAAUGCUGCAAGCAUGUUUGAAAUUGGUGAUUAUGAGUUUGUCCUGCCCUGUCUGCCACAUCAGUGAGUCUCCAGCAGCUGUGCUACUCAAGUAAGGAACAGAGUGUUCCUCCGGGGGCUUCAGGUACUUUAGGGAAGGGAAAAGCAGGGGUUUGCUGGCCCAUGUGUAACAGCCAGUUCUCGAAAAAACCAAAGAUGUGAUUUGUUUGUUGUCUUUGCUGAUAUACGUGGUGUAAAGCCUGUCUAUGGCCGGUUUCAGGGUAUCGACCUGACGUGCCAGAAUGUAGAAUUGGGAAGAGACGAACAAUAGCCGGUCUUUUUCACCCCUCAUGUAUGAGAGGGGUACACAACCUCAAAAGCCUAGUAGUAAAAUGUUAAAUAAAAUUUUAAAUGUAAAAUAAUUCGGAAGUGAUACAUUUUGAGUAUUGCCUAUAUUUUUAAUAUAAUUUAUUUAUAGCCUUAUAUAACUUAAACUUUAAUGAUGGCUCUUUAGCAGUGAGCUCAGUAGUCUUCUGUUGUAAUAAUAAGCUCUCAGCAUGAGUCAGCUCAAGUACUAGCUAUAAAUACUGAAAUACAGGAUAGAGUGAUAAGUGAUACUAUGGAAUGGUGCACAGAAUACUGUCUGACAAAGGGAGGACCAUCUAA